rnacentral:rRNA from 1 species
CCUACGGGAGGCAGCAGUGGGGAAUAUUGCACAAUGGGGGGAACCCUGAUGCAGCGACGCCGCGUGAGUGAAGAAGUAUUUCGGUAUGUAAAGCUCUAUCAGCAGGGAAGAAAAUGACGGUACCUGACUAAGAAGCCCCGGCUCACUACGUGCCAGCAGCCGCGGGAAUACGUAGGGGGCAAGCGUUAUCCGGAUUUACUGGGUGUAAAGGGAGCGCAGACGGCUGUGCAAGUCUGGAGUGAAAGGCGGGGGCCCAACCCCCGGACUGCUCUGGAAACUGUAAAGCUGGAGUGCAGGAGAGGUAAGCGGAAUUCCAAGUGUAGCGGGGAAAUGCGUAGAUAUUAGGAGGAACACCAGUGGCGAAGGCGGCUUACUGGACUGCAACUGACGUUGAGGCUCGAAAGCGUGGGGAGCAAACAGGAUUAGAUACCCGAGUAGUC